UACGUAGGAUGCAAGCGUUGUCCGGAAUUAUUGGGCGUAAAGGGCGCGUAGGUGGCCUGCUAAGCGUGCGGUGAAAGUCGGGGGCUCAACCCCCGAUCGGCCGUGCGAACUGGGAGGCUUGAGCACUGUAGAGGCAGGCGGAAUUCCGGGUGUAGCGGUGGAAUGCGUAGAGAUCCGGAAGAACACCAGUGGCGGAGGCGGCUCACUGGACUGGUAUUGACGCUGAGGUGCGAAAGCGUGGGGAGCAAACAGG
rnacentral:rRNA from 1 species